UGUCUGGAGAUUGCGGCUGGUCGGAUGGCGGGCCUGGGGACCGGGGAAGAGAACGUGGACUGGGUCGGAACCAGGAAACGUGCACCGCAGAGAGGAAAAUCUGAAGGUAACAGAGAUCUCACUCUAAUGCUCCAAAGCUAAUGCUGUUAAAGCCGAGUGCCCCAACUGCUGCUCCAGCCAGCCACAGCUCUGCAUCCUGCAAGAUGACAACGGCUUGGACACUGUUCUGCCAGUGGCUCCUGUUAACAGAGUGCUUGCUUUUUCCUGUGCUUAUUUCAUCCUCACAAGAACCAUUCCAGGUACCCAUCCAAGCACCUGCUCAUCCAUCCAUCCAACCAACUGGCAAGACGGCUGAUAGUGAGGGUAUAGAAAUGAAGAAGGCUACGUCCCACUCAAGGAUACGUCUCAUAAUUUGCUUGGGCCACAGAAAGGGCUCAAUAAAUAUUUGUUUCUGCCCUUACUCCCCGUCAGACAGGAACAGGACUGCUAUAAGCACCAGUGUGAAGCCAGCAAGCCACCAUCUUCUAGACAAACUCUUAGCACCCUUUUCAUUGUGGAAACAACACUGCGACCGUCUCAGGACCAGCCAACCUGAUUUCACAAAGGAAAAUCCCACCCUUUUUACUGGUUGAGGCUCACUAACCCUUCCUCCCUGGCUGAGAGUUGAACAUCCUUGGAAGAGCAUAAUUUAUUAAAGGUGAAAUUGCAGAAUUAGAAGUGAACUUGGACACUUGCAUGAAGGAUCAUGGGAAGCAGCUUUGGGGGAAAAUAUGACUCUGGUAGCCUCCUCUUCAUGUUGAAAGGAAAAGGGGGAUUGACAACAGCAAGCAGACAGGACCCAUGGGUCACCUCUCUAGGUUGAAUUCCCAGCCACAGGCUGUCUCUCAUGGUCCAUGUGUGGAUUUAGGGAAACCCUGACACAAAGAGUAAAAAUUAAGACCAGCUGUCAACACAGGAAGUCAUCCCAGUGCUCAAAAUACCUCAACAGGUUCUCCUACAAC